rnacentral:rRNA from 1 species
CACCGCCCGUCACACCACGAAAGCCCUCUGUACCAGAAGUCGCUGGAGCUAAACCCCGCAAAGGGGGGAGCAGGGCGCCCAAGGUAUGGCUGGUGAUUGGGGUG